UACAGAGGGUGCAAGCGUUAAUCGGAAUUACUGGGCGUAAAGGGUGCGUAGGUGGUUUGUUAAGUCAGGUGUGAAAUCCCUGGGCUCAACCUGGGAACUGCAUUUGUGACUGCAAGACUAGAGUUCGGCAGAGGUGGGUAGAAUUCCACGUGGAGCAGUGAAAUGCGUAGAUAUGUGGAGGAAUCCCGAUGGCGAAGGCAGCCCCCUGGGUCGACCCUGACGCUCAUGCACGAAAGCGUGGGGAGCAAACAGG
rnacentral:rRNA from 1 species